CUGGUGUGAAUCGCUUUUUUAGUUGCUAAAUGCCUAGGGGCACAUGGGUGGGAGACCCUGGGUACUUGCGAUUGGCUUGGCCUGAUGAGCCAAGUGUGGGAGUCAUCAGUGUGAGUUCAAGGUCUCUUGGAUUUCUUCCACUCCGGGGCGAACCACGCUGUUACAGGAGAUGCUCUGGAGGCCGCAGGUAGUGGUAUGCCACAAGAUCGUAGGGCUCGUUCGCCCUCUGCAGGGUCGUUGAUAGAAGUGUUUUUUCCGUCCAUGUGGAUCAGUAGCUUGACGGGGUAUGCCCAGCAGUAUGCCAUGCGGUGUUCCCUGAGAUGUGCCGUGAUCAGGUUGAAAGCUCUUCUCCGCUUGAGUGUCGAGGUAGAGAUGUCAGCAUACAACUGUACAGCCUUGUACUUGUCUGGAUCUGUUGGCUCAGAGUAUCACCUCUUUAGCAUGAUAGUAAUGCAUGCAGGUCAUGGUGUCUCUGGGGACAUCUGGAGCAAGGAGAGCCUUGCUG